CGAUGAGUCUUAGGGGUUUUCUAUCAUGAAGAACUAGACAAGUAUUUUUGAAGAUGGAUCCAAGUACUGUACCAAGAAAAAUAGGUGACUCACUUUUUAAAGAUAAUUUCUAUAAUUUCUUUUGCUAUAUGAUUAUCAUGUUUUUUAUUCAUGCAUAGAAUGAAUCUUGAAGGAUAGCUUAAAUUCAGGGUUUUCGUUCUUUGCUCCAACUGAUGAUCAAUUUGGGUGAAACAUCGGGAUUUGUUUUUGUGAAUUUUUGAAGGCUUCAUCUUUUUUUCUUUUUUUUCCUUUCCUAACCGUUGUCUCCUGUUAAUAAGAAGAACUAGACAAGGAUUUUAAUUCAAGUGCUGUUCCAGAUCAACACAAAGGUAAGUUAAUAAUAAGAUAUUUAAAAAACGGGUCAGUCUAUUUUCACGAUAGUUUCUAUAAUUUCUUUAGCUAUAUGAUGAUAAAUCAAGUUUCAGUUGAUUCUGUUUUUGUGAAUUCUCUGAUGGUUUUCAUAGAAUCUCUAAAUUUUGGGAUUCAGCAAUUAUGUUCUCUCUUUUUUCUAUUACAAUAUGUUCUUUUUUCUAUACUCUUUGUUUCUAUAAUUCCCUUGUCUUUAUGAUUACAUUCUUCGAUGUUGCAUUUGGAUGAAUUUUGAAGGAUCUUUUUUGGAUUUUGUUCUUUGGAGUGAUAAUCAAUAUUGGGUUUCAUUGGAUUUUUUAUGUGAGUUUCCUCUUAGUUGAAUCUUCAAUGUAAUAUGUGCUUUUGUGUUAUGUUUUUGUUAUUCGUUUUUGACUGGAGAAAGAACUCAUUUCCACUCUCAAAUGGGGGUAGGAACGUGGUCUGAAACAACACGGCCAACCAAAUUUGAAUUUUUGCUCUUUAUGUUCGUUUUAAAGUUGUGAUGUAGAAACACAUUCUUUAUUCUAUUUGUGUUUCAUGGAUAUCAGGAAGAGGAUUUGUUGCUUGGAUUCUUCCACGUACCUCAUCUAGGUUUUUAUUGAGCCCUAGAAGAAAUUUAUAGAUUCUUUUCUUCUCCACUUUUUUCUUGUAUCUUGCUGCAUCUCCUUGAGAUUCCAAUUCAUUUCUUCUUGACACAAGUCGUGAUGGACGCCUUCGAUCUCAAAUGAUUUAGGAUUCUCGAGGCCUAAAGACAUAAUGGUUCAUUGAAUUGAUUAGCGAUAACAUCAGCAUAUUAUAUUCUGCUUCAACUCUUGAACUUUGAAUCAUUGGCUGCUGGAGUUAUGGCAGCCCUGGUGACAUAUUAUUCUCCAUUCCCUUUCCUCAGAUAAACAUUAUAAUGGAUUGGGGACCAUUGUAACUAAUUUUCCCAUUCAGUCGGCACUCUAAUUUAGGUAUCUCUGGACAGAGCAUUCUAAUUUGGGUAUCUCUGGAUAGGUUUAAUUGCAGGUUCAUUGAUUUUUGGUUAUUCAAGUUGUAUGAGCAUUCUAAAUUACCUCAAUCAUGGUUAGUUUGCACUUUGUAAUAUUGAAAGUGCAUGACAUUUCAACAAGUGAUACUAUAUACUCUUGCCCUUCGGACAAAAGGCUGAUACUUCCAGGGUAACUGUUUCUUCAUCCCACGAUGAGGCGAAUUCAUGAGUUUCCCAAAAAUGUUUCCGUUUACUUUUCAAUCAGUAUCUUUUCACAUUCUGAAAUUUGAAACAGCUUUCAGGAUCAGCAGAAGUUUUGCACUUUUGCCCAUCCCUGAUGUGGGUCAUCCAUUAGCUAAAUUCCAGCUAAAGAGAUUAAAACACAGUAUAAACUUCUUGUUAAAGGUUAGGAUUUUUCCUAUUACGAUAGUUCUUAUCUCAUAGUUCUUUUAAGAUGUUAAUUUUCAUAUUUCUAUUUCUGAAGUGACAUAAUUCGUAAAUAACGUAAAUCAAGCUGUUAAAGAGGAACAUCUGUGAUGCAUAUGAAUUGGAUUAAUCUUUUGAAAGGCAAAGGAACAUCUGUGAUGCAUUAAUGGAUAUGGACACAUUCUCAAUUGAAAAUGUUAUAUAGAAAAGCUGCAAAAAGUUCUAAGUUUUGUUAAGACACAUUCUUGAUUGAGUAGCUGUCCUUGUUUACCCACGAUUAUUAUUUUUUGCCUUUCUGCCUUCACUAUCAUUAUUUUUUAGUACAUUUAUAUACUGAAAAGACGAUGUUUUUGUUUAUUAGAGCUCAAAAACUUCAAGGAGCUUAAUGAAGUGUGCUUUUCCAAAAAAAUAAUGUCAAAAACAUUGAGGAGCUUUUGAUUUCCAUAAUUUGCAUGCUAAAAAAAUUCUGCAUUCUACGUCUCUUUUCACUGCUUCUACAUGCAACGAAAGCAGUCUGGUGCCCUUUAUGGUUGUUUUUGCUUAUAAUCAUCAUCCUUUUCCACUCCCUUUUGUUUUACUCAUCUAAGACUUUGUUUUAAAAUAGCCUCAACCAAAUCUAUGUGACAUUUCAUUUAGAUUUUGGAAUAAAAACUUGUUUUGAUACUUUAUAUGUGCCAAUAUUAACCUUCUGCAAUGUAAAAUGUGUGCAGAUUACAUCAAAAUUAAGGAAUGCAUAACAAAUAUGAAUAUAGAACUCACUGGAAUGAAUGAAGGUAUGGUGCAUAAUCUUUAAUCUUUUCACACACUACAUGAAAAAUGUUGUGGGAAAGUACACCUUUAUUUUUUUUAUUUAUUUUUAUUUAUUUAUUUUUUUUUUUGAUGAGGGGGAACCCACAGUCGCUACCCUUUCGUGGAGGAUCAUUUCAUGCUUCAACAAUUUUUUUCUACUAUACUUUACCUAUUCAAAAACUCAAUUAGAUUUCUAUAGAAAGCAUCAACACCAAACAACAUCGUUGAACUUGAAGCAACUUCUCUUUGCACCAACGCAUCUCUCUCUAGUAAGAUCAUUUUAAUUUAUUUUUAUAUUAUCUUUCUCUCAACUCAUUAAAUAAUUUCUUUCUUAAUGAAAGCAUUUAGAUUAAUUCUGAUUUGAUUUCCUAGUCCAACUUGGUAAAUCCGUGUGAUAAGAAAACAAAUAAUUAAGCAUAUCAAGUACUUUAGGACUAAUUGAGAAGAUUGAGACUUCUCGAUCUUGACUUCAUCCUGAAGAGGAUUAUUCUCAAAUGGUGUUCAAAACUUGCUUGUGCCAAGAGUUACUUUUACUCAACUUAGCUCUAGGAUUAUACUCGAUUAGGUUAAGAAUAACUAAGGCUGAACUCGGCCUUUGUGAGGGAAUAUGCUCAAACUAAGUUGAGACUCAUUUGGACUUAUAUGCGAACUAGGUUGAGACUCGCUUGAGAUUGUUUCAAGCCAUAAAUGAAAUGUUCAUAAUGAGGUUGAAAUCUGAGCAAGACUCGGAUGCCCUUAUGAUAAAUCAUAAUUAGUUAAUGUCGAAACUCAAUUGUGCUAAAAAAUAAUAAUGAUCGGUCACGAUUGAGAUUCACCUGCGUUAGACUUAAUCCUUAGCUGCCUAACUUGUUGCGUGGCAAUCAUAUCAGCAUUGUUGCCUUUAUCUUUGGUUUCUUUUCAUCAAAUAAAAAAUGAUAUUAGGCAUGGUGCAAUGUGACACUAUUCCAUCUGGAAGGGUUCUGCAUAGGGUGAGUUUAAUAUCUUUUGUAUUAUGUUUUAUCAUUAGUUUUCUACAUAGUAUUAAUUAGCAAACUAUCUUGAGAUCAACAUUGCAAAACACUUUAAAAUUUUUCUAAAGAGCUAUGGAGAUGCAUGUCAGUGGGAGAAAGAAACUUUAUAUCUCAGGGAGGUAAGUAGCAAUAUGUCACGGGCCUAGUUUCGCCACUUCCUAACUACACUAGCACCAUACGGCCUCAAUGCUUCACAGCUCCCAUCUCCCACUAGAUAGCUUUAAACUUUAACUAAUGAGGAUAAAUUAUAUGUUAACUAUGGUGGAAAACUUCCUCUCAAGUAUUUUCUCUCUGCUAAAAUAUUACUCAACCUCACUUUUAUUUAUAGACAAACCCAACAAACUCAAGGGUUCUCAUUGGUAGCCAUUGCGUGUCUCUACGCUUAUAAGUUGUCAUGUUGCAAGGCCGUAUCCCUUUCCAACCUUAUGCUAAUUGGCAUGUCCCUUUCCAUGGAAAUGGACAAUCUCUACAACUUAUUGUGCAAGUGGAUGUGUCCCUAUCAUGGACUUUGCUUCUUCCGUCAAGCUUGGCUUCCUCACUGCACAAGUUGUACAAGUUGGUAUAAACUUGGACUCGGCAUCCACUUGCAUCCAAAAUCACCAGCCAUAGUUUACAGCCUUUCAUAAUAGUGAUUUUCAAAAACAUAACUUCUGUCCCUGCGUCCUUUGCCAACGUUUUUCCCCAUCUGCUUGUUUUCUAUUUGUUCAAUUUGCCUAUGUCCUGCCUACCUAGCCCGAUUGCAAUUUUUGCUUGUGUUUUGUUUAUUUAAUCUGUCUAUGUUGCUACUUACAUUCCUGAGCUGCAGUGCCUGCCCAAUCUGCUUGAAUUUUUUUCCUUUCCACGUCUCCCUACUAUAAUGACUAUGCUGGUCCUGCCUGUGUCCCCUUCCAUAGUUCUUGUGUUUUCUCAAAUUACGAUCCCUACCACAGGUAGUUCUGCUUAGUUGUGGUGCACUAUCUGUGCUACCUAGUUUUUCCUACCUGUGCUUCCUAUAGCAAGAAGCUACUGUGCAUGCUUUGAACAUUAUCACUUUCUCUCCUUUGUGGUAGUUCCCUCGACAAAUCUGUUGGCAUCACGUCCUUAUAUUAAACAAUUGGAAUGAAUUCAUCUGAACUUCAUCCACAUCAUGGCUAUCUAUGACCUCCAGUUUUGCUCCUCGAGAUGGACGCCAAUGAUCAUAGAUUAGGACAAUCUCGCAUGAGAUGCGGCCCUAUCCAUAUUUGAAUCAACCACUAGGAGCAAAAUUACAUUUUUGUCAUCAUAAACCUUUCUCCAAUUAGUUUUUUGUUGCCAUUGGGCUCCUAAUGACUUUGGGAUUUGGUCUCCAAUUCGGCUUAUGCCACGCCCUGUCUUUACCAAAAUUUCAUUUGGUUGGUUUGAAGGUCCUUUGCUUGCGUCUUCGUACUCUUUUGGAAUUCGUCAAAGAUUCGACAAUCAUAAUUGCCUUAUCUACAUCUUUGAUGUUGCGAUGUUGUAAUUCUUGCCACACCCAUGUUGCACAACCAUCCAUGAAAUAGAAUAGCAAGACAUUUUUCGACAUGCUUGGGAUUUGAAGCAUAAAGGUUGUGAACUCUUUGAAGUAGUCAUGAAUGAUACCUUUAUGUUUCAAUUUUCUUAGCUUCUUGGGGGCCUCAAACACAACAUUCUCCAACCAUGCUAGAAGAUGAUUUAAUGUUCUAAUUUCUAGACUAAUGUACUUGUUCGGCACGACAAGAAUUAAGUCACGGAGUCAACCGUGACGCCUGAUUGUGGUUGUAUUUGAGUUUACAAGCAAAAUUUCCCAUUUCCAAGCUAUAUACUAUAGCUACCGUUGACCUCGCAAAUUGAACUCUCCAUGUGAUCAAUCGAGAGCCACUCCAUGUGUUCCUCCCUAUGCACAAUAAUGAGCGGUCGGACAUAUACGACCAAUACCAGUGAGGGUGCACACUUUGAUGGUCAAAGUCAGUAGACGGUAUGAAGUAGAGAAGAUUACCCUUAUCUCUUGUCAAGCCUUUGGUGUUUAUAGGCAAAGGGUACUACUGGAUGUAGGACACGUAAAUGCAUCUAACGAUAUGAGGUCAUUAGCAGCAUCCUAAGGGGGUAGGUAAUUAAAUCUUCUGACAUGUGAGUUGAUAUAAGGCUGCGAUGUUGCAUCAAUCAAUUCAUAUAGAUAAGGGAAUCCUGACACAGGGAUACAUCUCUGAAACUGGUGGCAGAGGGGCCUCUGCACUCCUUCACCGUGUGAUGCCUCAUCUCUUCAGAAUUCAAUGUCAAAGGAUGCCUCAGAUAGUAUCGCUUAGGUAGUACCUGUGCCUCAUAAGUACGUGGUUAGUUCGGGCGUAAACUGGUCUCCCCAAGUUCGAGUUGUGGUUGUUGUUCUAAGGCUCAAAAGCUUCACAUCUUCGACCGAGGCAACACUUCAACCACACGGGACUAUGCAUUAGGAAGGUUGAAGCUCUGUAAAGCUGAGGAGUACAUAUUCGACCGAGGGGUGUCAUCGCAAGGGACAAUGCUUUGUAAAGCUUUGACUGAGGAGUGUCACCAUAGAGAUGACACUUUGUAAAGCUUUUGCAAUGCUUCGACCGAGGUGUUGAUCCACAGGGGGACAAUGCCUAGGAGAUGACUUAACUAUGGCGUUGAUCUACAAGGGAUUACACAUCAGGAGGAUUGAAACUCUGUAAAGCUGAGUUGUGAUCCAAAAGGUGUAGCAUGGAGACUUGAAUGAUGUGUCGCGAGGAAGAUGGUUGGAUACGACGAUAGAAAAGGCUUUCGCAACUCUUCAAUUGAGGUAUUGAUCCACAUGAGACUACUCUUCAACUGAGGUGAUGACCCAUAGGGGGAUGACACCUAGGAGAUGGCCUGAAGUUUUGUAAAGCUUUCGUAAUAAUUUGACCGAGGCGAUGACCCACAUGGGACUACGCAUCAGGAGAGUUGAAGCUCUGUAAAGUUGAGGAGCUCUGUAACUCUAUGAAUAAAUCUGCCUUACAACUAAUUGGAUUAAUUUCUCACAUAAGCGUUGGAGGCCUACUAUUUGAAACAUCUUUGUAUGGCAAGAUUGGUAAUCCUAACCUGAAAUAUCCAGCAUGCAUCAAAAAGCAAUUGUACCUGCACGUGGUGUUAAAUUUUGCUCUUCACAUUGCUCAAGCCAUGGACUAUUUAAACACAAACGGGAUUAUGGAUGGAAAAUUAAAACCUGGUAUUUGAUUGGGCAAUAAGCAAUUAAAGAUUUUAUUCAUCUAUAAUAUUGUUAUAUUGUGUAGUUUCGAACAAUUUUAUUGUUUCAAUGGAGAUUAAAAUAUUUUGUUCACCAGGAUUUCAUAUUGUGUAGGUUAGUUUGAAGGGGUAUUUUAAUAACAAGUAGGUAAAUAUAUAUUUCACAGUAUGUUGUCAUUUUCUUUUUAGUUUUAUUAUCUGGGUUGUUAUGCUAUCCAUCCCCAAACGAAUAAAAAAAGAGAAAUAGAGGAAAAAAGGAUGAGUUUAAAUCAAUUUUGAAACUUAUUUAUGUUGUGCUCAAUGACAUAUAUCUAUUUCUUACUAUAGGCAAUUGAUGAAUUAAUUGAUGCUUAUAUUACCUGGCGAAGCAGAAAAAGAAUGCUAUGAAAAGCGAAGCUUUUCUACUCUAUAUGACAACUGAGAACUCCAUUGCCUGUGAGUAUUUGUAGAAAUAAUUCUUUAGUGAAGGUUUUCCUUUUGAGCCUUUGUCUUUACAUAUGUAGGAGGAAGAUCUAUUUGUAUUUUAAGUACGAGCACUAGUUGGAUAAAACUUGUAUUAUUUGUCUUUUUCUCAAUAAUAUUAUUGUUCGUAUUCCACAUGUAAAAUGAUUUCUUGUGUUUUGAAACGAUAUGACUUAAUAAGUUUCUUUGCAUGCUCAGU
rnacentral:lncRNA from 1 species